rnacentral:rRNA from 1 species
UACGUAGGUGGCAAGCGUUGUCCGGAUUUACUGGGCGUAAAGGGCGUGCAGGCGGUUUGUUAAGUGCAGGGUGAAAGCUCCCGGCUCAACUGGGAGAGGUCCUUGCAUACUGGCGAACUCGAGGGAGGCAGAGGAAAGUGGAAUUCCCGGUGUAGUGGUGAUAUGCGUAGAUAUCGGGAGGAACACCAGUGGCGAAGGCGGCUUCCUGGCCUGUUCUUGACGCUGAGGCGCGAAAGCUAGGGGAGCAAACGGG